AGAGUUUGAUCCUGGCUCAGAACGAACGCUGGCGGCGUGCCUAACACAUGCAAGUCGCACGAGAAAGAGGACUUCGGUCCUUGAGUACAGUGGCAGACGGGUGAGUAACACGUGGGUAACCUGCCCCUUGAGUGGGGAAUAACCCAGGGAAACUUGGGCUAAUACCGCAUAACAUCGCUUUCUCUCUGGGGAGAGCGGUUAAAGGUGGGGAUCGCAAGACCUACCGCUUAGGGAGGGGCCCGCGUCUGAUUAGCUUGUUGGUGGGGUAAAGGCCUACCAAGGCUUCGAUCGGUAGCCGGCCUGAGAGGGUGAUCGGCCACACUGGAACUGAGACACGGUCCAGACUCCUACGGGAGGCAGCAGUGAGGGAUCUUGCGCAAUGGGCGAAAGCCUGACGCAGCAACGCCGCGUGGAUGAUGAAGGCCUUCGGGUCGUAAAAUCCUGUCAGGAGGGAAGAAAUGGUAGUGGGUUAAUACCCCAUUAUCUUGACUGUACCUCCAGAGGAAGCCCCGGCUAACUCCGUGCCAGCAGCCGCGGUAAUACGGAGGGGGCCAGCGUUGUUCGGAAUUAUUGGGCGUAAAGGGCGCGCAGGCGGUCGCGCAAGUCGGUUGUGAAAUCCCCUGGCUUACCCAGGGAACUGCAUCCGAUACUGCGUGACUUGAGUCCGGGAGAGGAGAGUGGAAUUCCCAGUGUAGCGGUGGAAUGCGUAGAUAUUGGGAGGAACACCAGUGGCGAAGGCGGCUCUCUGGACCGGUUCUGACGCUGAGGCGCGAAAGCUAGGGGAGCAAACAGGAUUAGAUACCCUGGUAGUCCUAGCUGUAAACGAUGGGCACUUGGUGUUGCGGGUGUUGACCCCUGCAGUGCCGGAGCUAACGCGAUAAGUG
rnacentral:rRNA from 1 species